UAAUUGAUUGGAGGUUUGUGGUUAGCUCUACUUCUUAUUUUCCUUCUUUUUCUUCUUUCUCCUCAUUGGGUGAGUGGGCUUAAAUUUCUAGUAGGUGAAAUUGAAUUCAUGGUGAGAUGCUAGUAUGGAUGUAGACCUUAUGAACUUACUCCUCCAACGUAAAUUCAGUCUCUUUAGCAGCGAAAUCUUCGAACUUGAACUGAUUCUCUACCCCCUUUUGCUGGUUUAAGAGCGAUUCUCACCAGAUUUUUAAGUUAAAAAGGCUAAUCUUCCGAGAGGCUGAGAGUGAAGUUAACCUCAAUUACUGCUGGUUGGGGCAAGGUUUGAGAUGAAUUGGAGGCCAAUAGAAGUUGAUUUUCUAUUAAUUAGGUAUCCAAUCAAUUUCGCCUAGUGCUGAAAUUCUGCUCUUUCUAAUUCACUCUCAACAACUUGGCUGAGAAUUUGAGGUGAAAUUUCAGAUAUUUUCUUCAUGGUGGACUAACCUUGUUCCUUGACCACUCUCACACUUUCUCCUCCCUGUUGUGCUCCUGCUGGUUGGUUUCCUGCUGGCAGUAAAUAGCAGAAGCACUUGAGUGGCAGCAGCGGCACCUGAUGACAGCAGCAGCAACAGGGCAUGUUGAGGAGUUUUCGUUAAUGCAAUUCAGACUGUUUCUUUUCGAAAUUGAGAUGAAUUUGUAGGAGAAGAGGCCAAUGGUCUGGACCUACAUCUUCAAGUAGCCAAAUCAUCAGGUUGAUUGGGCUAAUUGUGAGUCCAAGCGGUGUUAAUGCUGAUUUUUACUAAAGGUUGAUUCAACUUUAGUUUGUGACUCUAACUUUCUUAUGUGUUUGAAUUAGGGGAUUCUAUCUAAUAUGCAUCAAUACUCUAGCUAUUUCAAGGUUUCUUCUAGUUGAUUGAUAAGGGAUUUUGGAGUUUGGCAUCACUUCCCUUCUACUUGGAGUUGGGGGAAAGUGCUUGCGGAGUCUCAGUCAACCCGUGGUUGGAUUAGUAAAUAAGGUGGGUUAAUAUUUACCGAAAUCAUCGGAAUUUUUCCUAAGUCGUAGAGUGUCAGCAUGUUUUUUCUUAUGUUGAUCAUCAUGUUUAGUAGCUCGAAUUCUUAGAUUUGCAUGUUUUACGAAAUCUGAAUUUGGAGUAUAGUCUAAUAAUUUUAGAUGAA